UUUCCGUUGUAGCAAUACGAUGGAAAGUUUAGUGGCGAACGGGUGCUUAACACGUGGGCAACCUGCCAUGAAGUGGGGGAUAGCUCGCCGAAAGGCGAAUUAAUACCGCAUGUGAUUAGAGAGGACAUCCUUUCGAAAUUAAAGUCGGGGCAACCUGACGCUUCUUGUGGGGCCCGCGGCCUAUCAGCUAGUUGGUGAGGUAACGGCUCACCAAGGCUUUGACGGGUAGCUGGUCUGAGAGGACGACCAGCCACACUGGGACUGAGACACGGCCCAGACACCUACGGGUGGCAGCAGUCGAGAAUUUUUGACAAUGGGGGAAACCCUGAUCGAGCGACGCCGCGUGGAGGAUGAAGGUCUUCGGAUUGUAAACUCCUGUCAUUUGGGAACAAGGUGCACACGUUAACUGCGUGCGUAUUGAUAGUACCAGAAGAGGAAGGGACGGCUAACUCUGUGCCAGCAGCCGCGGUAAUACAGAGGUCUCAAGCGUUGUUCGGAUUCAUUGGGCGUAAAGGGUGCGUAGGCGGCGCGGUAAGUCGGGUGUGAAAUCUCGGAGCUUAACUCCGAAACUGCAUUCGAUACUGCCGUGCUUGAGGACUGGAGAGGAGACUGGAAUUUACGGUGUAGCGGUGAAAUGCGUAGAUAUCGUAAGGAAGACCAGUGGCGAAGGCGGGUCUCUGGACAGUUCCUGACGCUGAGGCACGAAGGCCAGGGGAGCAAACGGGAUUAGAUACCCCGGUAGUCCUGGCAGUAAACGGUGCACGUUUGGUGUGGGAGGAUUCGACCCCUUCUGCGCCGGAGCUAACGCGUUAAACGUG
rnacentral:rRNA from 1 species